GGAAUAUUGGACAAUGGGGGAAACCCUGAUCCAGCCAUGCCGCGUGUGUGAAGAAGGCCUUUUGGUUGUAAAGCACUUUAAGCAGUGAAGAAGACUCUUCGGUUAAUACCCGGAGACGAUGACAUUAGCUGCAGAAUAAGCACCGGCUAACUCUGUGCCAGCAGCCGCGGUAAUACAGAGGGUGCAAGCGUUAAUCGGAAUUACUGGGCGUAAAGCGAGCGUAGGUGGCUUGAUAAGUCAGAUGUGAAAUCCCCGGGCUUAACCUGGGAACUGCAUCCGAUACUGUCAGGCUAGAGUAGGUGAGAGGAAGGUAGAAUUCCAGGUGUAGCGGUGAAAUGCGUAGAGAUCUGGAGGAAUACCGAUGGCGAAGGCAGCCUUCUGGCAUCAUACUGACACUGAGGCUCGAAAGCGUGGGUAGCAAACAGGAUUAGAUACCCGGG
rnacentral:rRNA from 1 species